ensembl:lncRNA
AAAAAGUCCAUAAUGUUGAAGUGAAAAAUAGACAUUGUUUUAAAUUAUUAAAAAAAUAAAACAGAAAAUAUUUGAUUGCCGGAGUAUUUAACCCAUUUAGUCAAUAUUUCGUACUGAAGAGGCACCUUUGGUAGCCAUGAGUCUACUUAAAAGGAACCCUGACUAUUAAGAUACAUAAGCCAAUAUGCUACAAUUGCUCUCUCCAGAAAAACAUAGUUAGAAAUACAUAUUAGCAUAUUAGGUUGAGGUAGCUAAGUAUGUGUGCCAUUGGUCCAGUUUAUGUUCUUUACCUUAUAUGUGUAAAUGCAGCAUCUUGCCCUUCGUGGUUUCUGUCUUGAAUUCCCCCUGCCCGGACUGUGUGUAUGUGUUGUUAAUUCUGUCCCCCUCUGUUUCCUGUUAGUCUGACACACAAGCUCAGUCUGCUCUCCUUACCCAGGAACAGCCUAAAUAAGAUUUCCUGUUUUCUACUUGCAACUUUCAGUUUCAGCUUAUAUAAGAUAGCAAAAAAUAUAAGCACGGCUUCUUUUUCCAGCCCUAAGCUGUCGUCUAUAGGUGCGUCCUGCUGGCGGGGAUGAAACGUUUGCCGCCGAAUACGUCACUCCCAUUUCUUGCGAGAUGCCGCCCGCGAACAGCCGGCGGUCUGACUGCUUCAUUUUCUUUGGCGGUUGCCUCGGUCUGAUGGACCGCGGUCGUCCGGCGGCAAGACGCUUUUAAAUACAAGGCUACUCUCAAAAUCAACCGGCCAUGUUUGUUUGGACACAUUCGCAUCAGUUCGUCGCUCAAUCGCGAGUUACUACAGCCUGCAGUUUGCUAGCUAGCAAAGUCAUCGACUACCAUCGUUUAAAUACCUUGGCCAGAGCAUAACCGGUUAUCUUCACCCAAGAGACCUACUGUUGGUCAAUCGUUUUGGCUUUAAAGGUAAAUGUAUUGUUAAUCACAAUGUCUAGUUACUGGGCCAAAAGGAAAAUAAUAUUGAAAAGAGUUGAGAGGGAAAAACAGGACAUUCACUUGAAUCACUACAUGCUACAGAAGUUGCAUCGAUUCCAGAAAACCAGGAAAAUGUUGAGCCAUCUGUAGACUUCAGAGCUGAACCAGGUUUCUCCCCAGUAAUCCAGACUCCACUUCACAGAGCCAAGAGUUUGAGUACAACUCGUCAAGUACUAAGCUUUACACCACCAGCAGCAAAUUUACCCUGGCAGCAUAUGGGCGAAAACGCUGGAGGAGAAAGUCAUCGCUUUGUUAUUGGCCCUUGGACGCCCCUGGCAUCUCGUGUACAGCACAAAGUUUUCAGCUAUGAAGAUUUCCAGUGACUCCAGAAUGAAAACCAAGCUCUGAGGGAGAAGAACCAAGCCCUGAGGGAAUGCAAUGCACAAGCAGCUUCGGAUGACAGCGGCUCACUUCAAGAGCAGGUGAAGCAAGUAGGGACUAUGUUGAAGACGUUUGCUCUCACUGGGCAAUCAGGUGCGUUACCUGAAAGGAGCAUCUGACCGUGAAGGCAGAAAAAGCCACACAGCUGAGAAGGACCCACAGCCGACCCCUUAAACCUAGGCUGACUACUGACACCCCAGCAUCACUGAACUGGAACACUUUCUUUAUCCUGCAGUCAGUAACCUCAAGAAGCCAGAAGUGCCAGACUACCAAAUCCACCCUUUGUAUUUUAACUUUAGUAUUGGCUUAUUUCAUUCCGUCUUAACAAUUCUAUUAUAGUUUGUAAAUCCUAUUUUCAUACCUGUUACUUGAUAUUGCACAUUAACUAGUACCAAAAUUCGACUUUCAUUUCAUCACUGUGCUUAACUGUUAUUCUAUUAAUAAUAGCUUGGAAAUACUAUUUCGUACCUCUGAUACUUGAUAUUGCACAUUACCUGGUACCAAAUAUUCUACUUACUGUUUUUAACAUCAGCAUUUUUCAUUCCAUCACAGUGCUUAACUGUUAUUCUAUUGUUAAAUAUAGCUUGUAAAUCCUUGUGCCACAGGUCAGCAUUGCAGUUAUAAUGGUCUGUUCUACUACUGUUUUUACCUCCGUAUUUUAAUAUAAAUAUAUAUGUCAAGUUUUGUUUAUCACAGAUACAAGAGACACAGAUCUUUUUGCAGCACGGUGUAAAUCUUGUGCUCCAGGUCAGCAAUGCCAUUAUAGCGGUCUAUUCUACUCUAGAGCUUUACUCUAAAUUAUUACCACUUUUCCUAUUGUUAGAAAUGGCUUGAAAAUGUGAUGUUAUACCUCGAUUUAUUUGAUAUCCUGCACAUUCUUUGGUACCAAAUAUCCUCAUUACUUAUGUUUACUGGUAAUUAUUUUCACCCCAGAGCUGACCUCUUUAUAUUAUUAACAAUUAUUGUGUUUGUGUUAUAAUUUGCUUGUAUGGCUGUUUUUAUUUUAACCAAAAUUUAAUUGGAAACCUGCAUGUUCUGUAGUGUGUAUUAAUAUGUAUAUUUUUUUCUGCCUGUUCUUUAUUUCAGUGAUCUGACACAUCUUGUUUGAAUGACAGUUACUGUACUUUGAAAUGUGGAAUUAAAACACCAAAUGGAAA